UACGUAGGGGGCAAGCGUUGUCCGGAAUUAUUGGGCGUAAAGAGCGCGUAGGCGGUCCGAUAAGUCGGCUGUGAAAGUCAGGGGCUCAACCGUUGAAAGCCGGCCGAUACUGUCGGACUAGAGUCCGGAAGAGGCGAGUGGAAUUCCCGGUGUAGCGGUGAAAUGCGCAGAUAUCAGGAAGAACACCCGUGGCGAAGGCGGCUCUCUGGGACGGUACUGACGCUGAGACGCGAAAGCGUGGGGAGCGAACAGG
rnacentral:rRNA from 1 species